UGCAACCUGAGCUCAGUCGUGACUACCCCGCUGAACUUAAGCAUAUCACUUAGCGGAGGAAAAGAAACUAA
rnacentral:rRNA from 1 species